rnacentral:rRNA from 1 species
UACGUAGGGACCAAGCGUUGUUCGGAUUUACUGGGCGUAAAGGGCGCGUAGGCGGCAAUUCAAGUCAUCUGUGAAAUCUCCGAGCUUAACUCGGAACGGUCAGAUGAUACUGCUUUGCUAGAGUGCAGAAGGGGCAACCGGAAUUCUUGGUGUAGCGGUGAAAUGCGUAGAUAUCAGGAGGAACACCGGUGGCGAAGGCGGGUCUCUGGGCAGUAACUGACGUGAGGAGCGAAAGCGUGGGGAGCGAACAG